CCUUUCUUCUACUCAAAGCAAUAUUGCAGGCUCCUAAGGAAAAACAGCCUUUCGGCUUUAAUCUCCCUUCUCCCAAAGGACGGAAUCAGUGUUCUGUGUUUAUCUCCCUCAUGUCCUUGAUGAAUUUUCUCAGUACAGCUGCUGUAACGUAUACCCCUUGUAUGAAGUGUCACCAUCAGCUGGUCUUUGUCUGUUAGCGUCUCUUGCAUUGUGAACUCCUAUUUUUUUGGGGGGGCGGAUAUCUUACCAUAAUUCAUCAUGGUGGCCCAAACUAUACCAGAUUCGAGGUAGAAUCCUAGGAAAUGCUAAAUUAUAUCUUCCUUGAAAGGGAGUGAUGGACUACACUUAGCGGCUCUAGAACACCUGGGCUGCUAGCAAAUGUCAUUUUCUCAAGUGACUUUGAUGGCCAUAUGAGACUGUUGGAAGACGCUAGUUUCAAAUAGAAAAAAUGUGGCAGAAGAGACUGUGCUUCCAUUUCCCAGCAGUCUCCUUCCUUACUCAUAAGACGCCAAUUCAGAGAAAAUGCUUUUUGCACAAAACACGUCUUGCCUGGAAAAUUUUUACACAUUGAAAAUAAUAAUAGUUCAAUAGUUUUUAUUCCUGCUCUAAGUAGCUAUUGUUGAAAAUGUACUUUCCAUCCUUUACCGUUUUUUUUUUUUUUUUUUUUUUUUUUUGGCUAUACCUGUGGCAUAUGGAAGUUCUAGGGCCAGAGAUUGAACCCAUGGCACAGCAGUGACCAGAGCUACAGCAGUGACAACACUGGAUCCUUAACCUACUGUGCCACCAGAGAACUCUGUCCCCUACCUACUUAAAUACUUAAAAUGACCCUAUAAAACAUAGUAUGUUCUUCCAUUGGUGAUAAUUUGUCAAGAGAGGUUAAGGGCCUUAACCAAGACCUCUUUAGAAACAGCACAGCAGACCUGUGAUUGAGCCUGUUUCUGAUCCAGAUUAUAUCUUCUCUUUAGACGAUACUGCUGCCACCACACUUCACCACCAAUUCACUCUCAGCAUCAUCUGCUUGCUGGCAGGAUUCACCAGACUAGGAACAGUGAUGAGCUAGGUAUGAAAAGAGAAUCGCUUCCUUUAAUUACGCCCCAGAACCCCAAACCUUCAAGGAGAUUCUCUUGAAGGAAAGCAUGAGGCCCUAACUCUUUGUCUCUGUUUCAUCUUCCCCAGGGGGCCUCUUGCCCUUCAUGUUCCUCAGCCCCCACCCUGCCCCAGGGGGACACUGGUGGCCUUUUUAUCCUAGGACUCAAGGGGUAACAUCAACUGACCCCUCCUUUGGUUCCGUGAACCCAGCAGGGACCUCUAGAACUUGCCACAUGCCAAGAGAGAACAAAACGGACACAAACACAACAUUAAAACGUAUUAGCAAUCCAGUCUACAUAUUCCAAGUUUCUUGUACCUGACGUCACUUCCACCAGGAUCAGCAGAUCUUUUUCUGCCCCUUCCCCCAUUUCCUUCAAUAUCCAUAUGAUACCAUGGUGAGUCCUAAUGGUUUGCUCCGUUAUGCAGACAACUUGUCUAUACCGAGUAUGCAGUGUUCAUUGCACAGGUGAAUUUGUAGGCCUUUUGUGCUUGCUAUGCUCAUCACUGCCACCUCUUUCUGGUGGCUGCAGUUCUGCUCUAAUUUUGCACAGGUUUAGCUUCUUUCCAAAUGAAGGGUGCUGUCUGAUCACCCUCUACUCAGGAUCCCCUUCCCAGUAUUGGUGAAAAGCCACAAUUAAGGCUGAGGCAGAGAGGUCCUCCUCGUCUCUGAUUCAAGGCCAUCUUACAGGUGCAACCUCUUAAGAGGGAUGCUUCUUCUUCAGUAGUGGGAUGUCAGUAGUGGACACCCACCAAUAUCUGGCCUGUUGGCUGGAAGAAAAGUCCCAAAUUGAGCUGGUGCUUGAAACUUGGGGCAGGAAAAUUAGCACAAGAGUCGGGCUCAGGAUGGUGGGGGAGACACAUCCUAUUUAGUAGUAGUGAGCCGUCAGAUGGUAGGCUAAGGAGGGCCAGCAUGAGGAGCUUGACAGCAGGAAGCAGAUACCUAGUUUUGGAGGUCAGAAUUUGGGAAUCAGACAUCAGCUCCUGCGUUGACACUUACAAGGCGAGACUUGAGUUUUGGAGAAAUUUGGGUAGGGUAUCAAAGCAAGAUCCGCAGCUGAGUCUGAGUUAACGUUGGCUCAUGAAGGUCCAAGGUGGUGCCACAGCCUGCUAUUGGUCAUCCUGUUAACAUCACAGUGCCUCAGAGGCAGGGAAUCAGGAUACAUGGUAAAGAGACACACACGUGAUCAAAAUGACAAUGUUCAGUUUCAGUCUUGUGUUAUAUAGCAGUCUGAUCCCUUCUUAGCUUCGUUAAGGGGUCAAAGCUGGGAGGCAUCAGGGUUAUGGGAACAAUGCAAUACUGAUUAGUAUAUAAUUCAAUAGCCUUAUUAUUUUUGUAAAGCAAGAUAUAGAAACGAAAGGUCCAUGGCUAGUAGUAGGAAAUUCAGUGAUUCACCCUAAGGAAAUGAAGCACAGUCUCCCAGGAAGGUGAGCUAUUUUGUUUAUCCAGAAGGGGCACUGAUGGCUGGGUUCCUAACUGGAUUUUUUGCUAGCUCUCACAGGCAUUGUAUUUUCCUGGUCAGAUGCAGGGAAGAAUAGUAUGUCUUCAGAAGGAAUCCUUGGCAGCCAUCCUCCACUAUUUGGAGGGCAAUUGAUGCAGGCUCUUUUCUCUAAGUGGACCUCCAAAUGAUGUUGCAUGCAUGACCUUUUUAAAAGGUGACAUGCUGAGCCAAAGUGGCUGUGAAGGUCAAGCAUUUCCUAGGCUGCUUGUAGGGGAGAUUCAUCUUGGGUGAAAAAAGGAUUUGUUUGGAUAGAUUGGGGAGGGAAUUGUUUAAAAAUCUUGUUGCUGGGGUUCCUGUUGUAUGUAGCUCAGCAGUAAUGAACCUGUCUAGUAUCCUCAUGGACUUGAGUUUGAUCCUUGGCCUUGCUCAGUGGGUUAAGGAUCUGGUGUUGCUGUGGCUGUGGCUGGCAACUGUAGCUCUGAUUCUACCCCUAGCCUGGGAACUUCCAUAUGAUACAGGUGUGGCCCUACAAAGACAAAAACAUGUUGUUACUGAUGCUUUCACCUCUCAUCAUCACCUCUCCUAAGAGGAGUGACUCUUAAAGGAAGUUAGAGUGGAAAAAGAAUUGACACCAUUACGACCCAGGAAGGGUUCAUUUUUAGACCGUCAGCCAAGACUGAGUUGACAUUGACUGAUGAAGGCAAGAAGGGUGUCAGAGCUGGCCUUAUGGUCUAACUGUUGAUGGAUGCACAGUGCCUUAAAUGUAGAAAUUUUAUUUUUAUUAUUUAUUUAUUUGUCUUUUUGUUUUUUUAGGGCCGAACCCUCUGCAUAUGAAGGUUCCCAGACUAGGGGUCCAAUUGGAGCUGUAGUCGCUGGCCUAUGCCAGAGCCACAGCAACUCAGGAUCUGAGCCAUGUCUGCAACCUACACCACAGCUCACGGCAACACCAGAUCCUUAACCCACUGAGUGAGGGCCAGGAAUCGAACCGGAAACCUCAUGGCUCCUAGUCAGGUUCGUUAACCACUGCUGACUAGUUGUAAACUAUGUAAAAAUGAUAAUAAAAUACAAAAUGUUGGUACAUUGAAGCCCCUUAGUACAUUAACUUUUGUUACCUAGUUGAAUUUUUUUUUUUUUUUUUUUUUUGACGGCACUUGAAGCAUAUGAAAGUUCCCGGGCCAAGGAUCAAAACUGCACCGCAGUAGCAACCUGGACUGCUGCAGUGACCAUCCCAGGUCCUUAACCUGCUGCACCACAAGGGAAUUCCCUGGUUGAAUUAUGUUGUACAAACUUUGACUUAAGCUUGUAGCAUCAUCUCUAGUUGAAAACUCUUUGACACGGCAGGGGAAAUUUUAAAAUUACUAUUAGUUAAUAAUAGUUACUAAUAGUUAUUAUGCAGCUAUUCUAUGUAAAUUAUGUAUUUUUCAGUACUGGGCAACCAAAAAGCAAACAGACUUCAUUUGAAUGCUGAAACAAAUAUUAUUAUCUAUGAGCUCAGUUUGAAAUAUUGGGGAUAAAUCAAAACCACCUUAUUGUCUUCACUGAUUAACCUUGUACUGAGUAAAUUUAGUAGUAAAAUGAGAUUUUUAUAAAAUGUUUAAUCCUUAAAACCUCUCUGCAUCUUUUUGAGACAUUAAUGGUGUCCUAAGAUUUUGAAAACAGUUACAUUGCUUUAAAAACAUUUUAACAACAACAACAGAUGUUUGGAUGUACCACAUCAAAGAAUGGUACUUAUUGCUACCUAUUAUGAUGUAGAAAUGUAGUUUUUACAAUAAUUUAGAACUUUUUCAAAUUUAAGAAUGUGGUCUUCUUUUCCCACUUGUUCAAGUUGUUUUGAGUGAUUUUUAAAAAACAAACAAACAGAGGAGUUCCUGCUAUGGCGCAACCAGAUCGGUGGCAUCUCUGGAGCGCCAGGACACAGGUUUGAUCCCCACCUGGCACAGUGGGUUGAAGGAUUCUGCGUUGCCACAGCUGCGGGUGUGGAUCACAGCUGUGGCUCAGGUCUGAUCCCUGGCCCAGGAAUUCUGUAUGUCAUAGAGCUGCCAAAAAAGGUGGGAAAAUUUUUUUUUUUUUUUUUUUAAACAGCAGUGCUGUAUCCACUUUUACCGUCAUAAUGUUUAUGUCUUUUGUGACUGAAUUUUCUUGGUCAUAACUCAAUCCAUUAGCGCUCCAGGCCCAGAAAGCUUAUUUGUGAGUUGCAACAACUUCAAGUAGGGAGCUAGAUGAUUUUAUCUUUGAUUUUCAAGUAGAGGCACGUUGAACAGAGGACCCCUUUUGUGUAUGUAAUGAAAGCAUCGUCCCAGGAUGUCCUACUUUAGGAAGAGCCAAGGUAUCCUGUUUUCAUCCUAGUGCCUUGAAUGGGGCUUCUCUUUGGCAGGGGGCAUCCUGUAAACCAACCCACUUGGCCUUCUUCUCUGUUGUAGAGGAAGUGCUCUUCCUGUCCUUAUCAACAUCAAGGUCACAGUUUCAUGGGACUCUGAAGCCUCGAAACCCAUAAGAGAUCCUAAGAGACUGGGCUGGCACUAACGGGAACUGAAGGAAAAAGCCAGAAGGCAGUCUGUGGUUAGGAAAAGAGAAGGGAAAGUGUCAUUCUCGAUUGUACUUUUCCUUCCGCUGACUUUCCAUGGAUUGGACUUCUCCUCCUUCUCACUUUCCAGCAUGUAGGAAACAGGACAUGUUCAUGUCAGAGAAGACCAAGAACAAUGUUAGCAAAACAUACAGGCCUCUAGAGCAUCCAACUCCGAGGCAGCAUGACAAUAGUUAAAAUUCCAACUGUUACUAGGAUUUUGUAGAGGGAACAAAACACAAAAGAAGCCUCCAGUUCCUUGUGCAUUAAUAACCAAGCGGUGGAUAAAAAUGAUUUUUAAAAGACCUGAUUUGCAUAUAACAAAGAAAACAUGCCAGCUGUUUGAUUCAUUGGAAAACUUAAAUGAUGAGAAACCUAUAAACCAGUCAUUUUCAGUCUGGCUGUCAAUUUGUAUUUCACUGGUGUUCAGUGUCUGGUUACCAACAGUAAGCAGAUUCUCAUAAAUCAGCACUAAUGGGGACAUCCAGGAUGAUUGCUAAUAUUUAGACAAAGUGUGAAAAAUUAGGAUGUUUCAAGCUACUUCAGAAGUAAUUGUAACCCAGGAAAUUCCUACUUAGGUAUAUUUUCUCUGGCUAUUUCUCAUUGACUGGGGCUCAUGUCACAAAAGAUCCCCUUCAGUUGGAAUAAAGAGGAGAACAAGGAAGAAUGUCAAGCAGAAUUUAACUUUCUCAAAUCUUCAUUUAGCCAUUUUUUUUUCAUAUGUCUUCUAAACCCCAAAGUCAUUCACUGUGUAGCUCUGAAGGCUCGAAGACUUUGAGAAUUUGGUAGCUUCACAGAGAGAGAGAGAAACUGAGACAUUUUCAUUUUCUUUUUUUAAAAAAAUAAAAAAAAAAUUAAAAUUUUUUUAAAUGUUACGCUGCACCCAUGGCAUAUGGUAGUUCUCGGGUCAGGGACUAAAUCCGAGCUGCAGCUGCAACCUAUGCCACAGCUGAGGCAGUGCUGGAUCCUUUAACCUACUGUGCCCAGCCAGAAAUCGAAACCAUGCCUCUGCAGAGAUCUGAGCUGCCGCAGUCAGAUUCUUAACCCACUGUGCUAUGGUGGGAACUCCUAAUCUCCUUUGAGAACAGAACAGCAUGAGAACAAUUUAAAUGGCUGGAAAAUGUAUUUAAAUUAAACAAAGAACUCAAGACUUGAAAGGGUUGGACUGGAUUAUAGAAGUAGGUCAUGGGAUUUUAUUUUCAAGAGCAUCUGGGACAGAGUGAAAAGAGGGGUUGAAGAGUACCUGGUUGGGCUGGUGUUUUCCAGGGAUGCAUACAUUCAAGCCUCAUAACCAGUUUGUAGAUGGUGUGCUGUUACCGAUGCUCAAUGCAAGAGUCAACUAGUACAGAGUUUAAGCGCUGUGCCCAGGGGUUCACAGCUAAGAACUGCUGGAGCCAAGAUCCAAAUUUAGGUCUUCUGUUUCUACAAGCUGUGUUGUUGAACCACGCCACUGUGCGGCCUGCCAUAGAGCUCAUUUCCAUCAGUUUAAUUUUCUCGGAGGCAGACAAUGUGUUUGACUUGCAAGGUUUCUUUCAGCCCCCUGCUGCUGUGUGACACAUAACCAUUAGCUCACCACCAGGGUCAGCAGGUCCUUGGGUCUCACAGGAAGUGUGUCCAAGAUGAACUGUGCCCAGCUAUAUGCAAUGGCAUCCUCCUCCAAAAGCUCGUCACGCUUGAAUUCCUUGAAUUCAGCUUAUGCAAAACAUGCCAGUAGUCACUAAACAAUAACCCUUCCCAACCAUGCCACAGAAGGAGAAUUAAAUGAGAAGAGACAUCCAGAUUUGACAGGCAACCUAUAUACCAUUUAGAUCAGAAGUCUAGUCUUUGACAUGAAGGCAACCUAAAUGUCCCUUGACAGACAAAUGGAUUAAGAGGAUGUGGUACAUAUAUGCAAUGGAAUACUACUAAGCCAUAAAAAGAACAAAAUCAUGCCAUUUGCAGCAAUGUGGAUGUAACUAGAGAGUCUCAAUCUCAGUGAAGUAAGUCAGAAAGAGACAAAUACCAUAUGAUAUCAUUUUUAUGUGGAAUCUAAAAUAUGGCACAAAUGAACCUAUUUACAAAAUGGAAACAGAGACACAGACAUGGAGAACAGACUUGUUGCCAAAGGGGCAGGGGUUGGAGAGGGAGUGGGGUGGACUAGGAGUUUGGAGUUGGUAGAUGCAAACUAUUACAUUUAGAAUAGAUAAACAUUGAAGUUCUGCUGUACAGCACAGGGAACUACAUCCAGUCUCUUGGGAUAGAACAUGAUAGAGGAUGUAGGGAAUGUAAAGAGACUCUCUGUAUAUGUGACUGGGUCACUUUGCUGUACAGCAGAAAUUGGUACAACAUCAUAAAUCAACUAUUCCUUAACAAAAAA
rnacentral:lncRNA from 1 species